CCGCCUCCAGGAGAGGUAAGGGUGCAACGGUGCGGUAAGAGCGCACCAGCAGCCAGGUGACUGGCUGGCUAGGUAAACCCCACCCGGAGCAAGACCAAAUAGGGGAGAGUUGACGUGGCCCGCCGAUCUCCCGGGUUAGGUUGCUGGAGGUGACAGGUAACUGUCAUCCUAGAGAGAUGGCUGCCGCCCCGCAAGGGGAACAGAACUCGGCUUACAGGUCUGCUCUGUAU
rnacentral:RNase_P_RNA from 1 species